UAGAAUAAACAAAACUAACAUAUAAUCAAUCACCCCCCCCCCCCCCCCCUGCUAAUUGGCAACAUGGAUUAACCCAGCAGUAUAAAACGGCAGCCACUGACACCAUCCAGUCCUUUAGGAAUGGACCUCCACUGGAGCUCUGCGUCCCAGGCUGCCCUCAAACCUCUACUUUCCACAUGCAGUAGAUUUCGUCAUGUUCCUGUUGGUCAAGUGACUUUCUUGCCUUCAUCUGAUAACAUCUUGUGCUUCCCUAUCCACCAAUUUCAUGGUUAGCAAAUUUCCUAGUUAGGAAAAGAAUAGCGGCUUUGAACCGGAAGUUGGUUUUCCGGUUCAAAGCUUCUGUGCGUUUGGUAGCUUGUAGCUUGCUAUCUUGGUUGCUGUAAAAGCUGGUGUUUCUCCAUGGAUGAAGCACAAAUGGACAAAUAAAACUGGCUAGAUGACAUAAAGCAACAUGAAGCUCAAUGGUUCAUUGCUUUCGUGUGGCUUAUGUCAUUGGUCCUUACUAUAUACAGCC